rnacentral:rRNA from 1 species
GACGAACGCUGGCGGCGUGCCUAAUACAUGCAAGUCGAACGCUUCCUACCGGUGCUUGCACCGGGAAAGAAGAGUGGCGGACGGGUGAGUAACACGUGGGUAACCUACCUACAAGCGGGGGAUAACAUUCGGAAACGGAUGCUAAUACCGCAUAGAUCUUUUUGUCUCCUGGCAGAAAGAAGAAAGACGGUUUCGGCUGUCACUUGUAGAUGGACCCGCGGCGCAUUAGUUAGUUGGUGAGGUAAUGGCUCACCAAGACGAUGAUGCGUAGCCGACCUGGGAGGGUGAUCGGCCACACUGGGAAUGAGACACGGCCCAGACUCCUACGGGAGGCAGCAGUAGGGAAUCUUCCGCAAUGGACGAAAGUCUGACGGAGCAACGCCGCGUGAGUGAAGAAGGUUUUCGGAUCGUAAAACUCUGUUGUUAGAGAAGAACAAGGAUGAGAGUAACUGCUCGUCCCUUGACGGUAUCUAACCAGAAAGCCAUGGCUAACUACGUGCCAGCCGCCGCGGUAA